AUUGAACGCUGGCGGCAUGCCUUACACAUGCAAGUCGAACGGCAGCACGGGGGCAACCCUGGUGGCGAGUGGCGAACGGGUGAGUAAUGCAUCGGAAUGUACCCAGUAGUGGGGGAUAACUAGUCGAAAGAUUAGCUAAUACCGCAUACGCACUACGGUGGAAAGCGGGGGAUCGCAAGACCUCGCGCUAUUGGAGCAGCCGAUGUCCGAUUAGGUAGUUGGUGGGGUAAAAGCCUACCAAGCCUGCGAUCGGUACCUGGUCUGAGAGGACGACCAGGCACACUGGGCCUGAGACACGGCCCAGACUCCGACGGGAGGCAGCAGUGGGGAAUUUUGGACAAUGGGGGAAACCCUGAUCCAGCAAUGCCGCGUGUGUGACGAAGGCCUUCGGGUUGUAAAGCACUUUUGGCGGGAACGAAACGGCGCUUUCUAAUACAGAGUGCUAAUGACGGUACCCGCAGAAUAAGCACCGGCUAACUACGUGCCAGCCGCCGCCGUAA
rnacentral:rRNA from 1 species